GCGGGGCAGAACCGCUGCGCGGAGCCUUCCGGACUUCGGUUCCACCUCCCCGCUGCAAAUCUGUGCUCUGCGCGCGCGGCCGCCAGCCGGGAAAAGAUCUGGCUGCGUGUGGGAAAAGAUAGUAACCUAGAAACAGGCCGUCCUCAACAAGUAUAAUAAUAGGUAUAGACAGUGUCUUUUGACUCCCAGCUUUAAAAGAUGAAGAUGCCAGCACCUCUAACCUUCCAGUUGUAUCCUGUGUUUUGGAUUCCCUGUUUUCUUUCCUGGUUUAACCCCUCAUCUUUUUGAAGCACAUCUUCAAGUAGUUGUCCAAGAAAAAGAGCUGGGAAAGCAAGGAAGAACACUGUGGAGUUGAACUGGAAAUGGCUGUAUUGGCACAAAGUCAUGUCGGGAAGUAGAGCAUGCAGACAAGGUUGGCGCAGGCAGAGAACUCAAAGGAGAGAGCAGAGGCAUGAGAACGCCAGGGAGCAGCCCCCAGUGGUGCUGGGCCGAAGUCAGCUUACAAGAGGGAUGGACACUGUGAAGGGACCCGGUGAGUCACGGGACGCCCCGCACGUGGCGGAUGGCGCGCUUACGUGUCCGUUGGCGAUGUCCAGCAGGUCCCGCAGCCGGCAGCCCCGGCGGUGCCUGCGCUCAUAGCAGAUGCUGUCUUCCAGGAUCACGUAGUCGGUGCCAAAGGACCUUAGCAGGGCGUGCACUUCCUCUGGGGCCCUCUUUGCAUAUAUCUGAUAGACCUUCAAAACAAGAUAAAAAUGGAAUAGGGCAAAAUAUCACUUAACUGCUGGGAAGUUCGUCAAGGACUAUCUAUUGCUGCAACCUCCCACAGGGGCUGAGCCUAAUCGCAGACACCCAGCUCCCCCGCCUCUUCCUGUGCAGGUCGCUCAGUCACCUGUAGUCCUGGAGUGUGUGUGAGAAAUUCCCAAAAAAAAAAAAAAAAGUUGUUGGGAUGGGGGAGAGUGCGUCAUGCUGAAUACAUUUGGAUUUAGACGCCAAAGAGAUCUGGAUUUAGGAUGUACUGAGUUAUGAAUAUAUUCAUCAGUAGAUGCCAAUUCUAAGAAUGCUUCACCAAGGUAAAUAAUGCGAUUGAGUAAAUAAGACACCGUCUCUGCCUUUAAAAAGGGGACCUUUAGACUAAAAGGGUCCAUUAGGGGUGGUGGUACAGUCUGGAGGCACAGAUACUUGUAAGGAGACCCAGCUUCUGAGAGUGGCCGCUGGGGAACAGGACCCCCAUAGGGUCCCUGGCCCCAGACAGGGGCAGCACCCUCGCUCUACUGCUGUCCUGCUGCACUCAGCUUGACCAGGAGACCCUACACUUUCUCUCUC